UGAGGGAGAGGAGACAUACAGUCAGGGAGAAUAGAUAUUCAGAUUCCUUCAUUUUACCUGCCCUCCAGAAGGCUGUGAAGAGACAACCAGUGAAUGGGAUAGAUUACAGAAAGAGUGUGAGCCUGAGGGACUCUGGAAGUGGCAGUGACUUUGCCUCGGAGCUGAAGCAACUUGCAUGGUUAUUACUCAGCGUGCGUGGGGCCGGGUGAACGCUUCACCCAGCUGGUGGCAAAAUGGAGCAUGGCUCAGUCCCAGCCUGGGGAAUCUGACUUUAGCUAGAGAGGCCAAACAAGAUAGAACCUGAAAGUACACCAGAAGCAGCCCAGCAACUUUCACUGGGGAGAGAUCUGCACCUUCUACCCGACUGCGGUUCAAAGUCGAUGCAAAUCCCAUAUCUGCUUUCCCUGGCUAGUUUUCCACACCCCACCCACCGAGGGCCUCAACCCUGCUGCAGGAAAGGUUGAAGACGGGAAAGCUGAUCAUUCUCCAGUGGAUAAAUAGCUGACUUUAUUCCGUGCCCAGAUCGCAAAACCCUAUUAGCCGAAGGGAAUAGGUCAUGGUUUUAUUUAAAGCUUGUAGAGGGGGUGGCAAAAUAUUUAAGCCCGAAUCCAUUAUGUGACCAGGAUGGAAGACGAGCAAAAAUGAUUUUUCAAUAGGUGUGAGCAGUCGUCAGCAGGAUGAGUCACGGAAAGAUGGCUGGUUCUCCCCAGCCCCAUCGCCUCCCUAAAAAUCACACCCUUUCUCCACCCACACUAGCAAUGCCAGUUUGGUGGCACUGUAUAAGCAAAGUUCAUUAAAGCUUCGAGUGAA